CUGGCGGGGUCGCGGUGGGCGGGCCGUGGACCCUCCGGUAUAAGGCGGUCCCGGGGGAGUGCGGAGAAGGGGGGGGUCUCGGCGGCCGGAGGAGGAGUAGGUGCGGGUGAAGAUGGCGGCAGCCGAGGCCGCGAACUGCAUCAUGGAGGUGUCCUGUGGCCAGGCAGAAAGCAGCGAGAAGCCCAACGCCGAGGACAUGACGUCCAAAGAUUACUACUUUGAUUCCUACGCUCACUUCGGCAUCCACGAGGAAAUGCUGAAAGAUGAGGUGCGCACCCUCACCUACCGAAACUCCAUGUUUCACAACCGGCACCUUUUCAAGGACAAGGUGGUGCUGGACGUGGGCUCGGGCACAGGGAUCCUCUGCAUGUUCGCUGCCAAGGCCGGUGCCCGCAAGGUCAUCGGGAUCGAGUGUUCCAGUAUCUCUGAUUAUGCGGUGAAGAUCGUCAAAGCCAACAAGUUAGACCACGUGGUGACCAUCAUCAAGGGAAAGGUGGAGGAGGUGGAGCUGCCGGUGGACAAGGUGGACAUCGUCAUCAGCGAGUGGAUGGGCUACUGCCUCUUCUACGAGUCCAUGCUCAACACCGUGCUCUACGCCCGCGACAAGUGGCUGGCGCCCGACGGCCUCAUCUUCCCAGACCGAGCCACGCUGUACGUGACGGCCAUCGAAGACCGGCAGUACAAAGACUACAAGAUCCACUGGUGGGAGAACGUGUACGGCUUUGACAUGUCCUGCAUCAAAGACGUGGCCAUCAAGGAGCCCCUGGUGGAUGUGGUGGACCCCAAGCAGCUGGUUACCAACGCCUGCCUCAUAAAGGAGGUUGACAUCUACACAGUCAAAGUGGAGGACCUGACCUUCACGUCCCCCUUCUGCCUGCAAGUGAAGCGGAACGACUACGUGCACGCGCUGGUGGCCUACUUCAACAUCGAGUUCACCCGCUGCCACAAGAGGACCGGCUUCUCCACCAGUGAGGCGGGGCCCGGGCGCUGCGGGGUGGUGGGGCAGGUCCCACUGUGGCAAGGGAGGGAAGGAUCUGACUGCAGCAGCUCGAGUCGCUGCAGAGGCGCGUGGUCAACCCCCAGCUUGGUGCAGUGGGUUAGGAGGAUCCAGUGUGACAGCAACCGUGGCUCAGAUUUAAUCCCUGGCCCAGGAACGUCCAUAUGCUGUGGGUGUGGCCAUUUAACAAAUGAAAAAGGAGUUCCCAUUGGGCUCAGCGGUUAUGAACCCAGCUAGUGUCGUUGAGGAGGCAGGUUCGACCCCUGGCUCCCCUCCAUGGGUUAAGGAUCCCACAUUGCUGCUGUGGCUGUGGUGUCUGCUGGCAGCUGUAGCCUGGGAGCUUCCAUAUCCACGGGUGCGGCCAUUCAAAAAAAAAGGCAAAGAGAAGAAAAAGAGCGGCCAGGGGGACCCCGAGGCCCCAGAUUACCUGCCCAGGAAACGGCCCCUCUCCCCAGGCUUGCCGAGGGUGAAGAGACUGUGGUCCCGGCUCCGUCCGCAGGCACAGGGGGUGGGGUGGGGGCUGGGGGCCGGGUCGGGGGGGUGCCCGGCUGACCCGCCUGCCCCCCAGGCCCCGAGUCCCCGUACACGCACUGGAAGCAGACGGUGUUUUACAUGGAGGACUACCUGACGGUGAAGACGGGCGAGGAGAUCUUUGGCACGAUCGGCAUGCGGCCCAACGCCAAGAACAACCGUGACCUGGACUUCACCAUUGACCUGGACUUCAAAGGCCAGCUGUGCGAGCUGUCCUGCUCCACCGACUACCGGAUGCGCUAGGUGGCGCCGGCUUUUCCCACCCUGGCCGGGCCGGCCCUGCGAGGGCCCAGGGGCUGCGGCAUUCUUAGGCGGUUUCGGGGCUCCCCCUUCCUCUCCCACCCUCCCUCCCACAGAAGGGGGUUUUAGGGGCCAGGGGCGGGGGGCACAUCGUGACUGUGUUUUUCAUAACUUAUGUUUUUAUAUGGUUGCAUUUACGCCAAUAAAUCCUCAGCUGGGA